UAAUACGGAGGUGGCGAACGUUGUUCGGAUUCAUUGGGUGUAAAGGGUAUGUAGGUGGCCUUGUAAGUCGGAUGUGAAAUCCUUUGGCUUAACCAAAGAACUGCAUUCGAAACUGCUUGGCUUGAGUUUGGGAGAGGAGAGUGGAAUUCCCGGUGUAAGAGUGAAAUCUGUAGAGAUCGGGAGGAACACCUGUGGCGAAAGCGACUCUCUGGCCCAGAACUGACACUGAAAUACGAAAGCUAGAGGAGCAAACAGGAUUAGAUACCCUGGUAGUUCUAGCCGUAAACGAUGAGCACUAGGUGUGGGGUCCACUGGGCUCUGUGCCGCAGUUAACACAUUAAGUGCUCCACCUGGGGACUACGGCCGCAAGGUUG
rnacentral:rRNA from 1 species